UCCCUGGUAGUAUAUCGGUUAGUACACGCGCCUGUCAUGUAGAUUGUGUGGCAAAUGUCAACGCGCGAAAGCUGGGUUCGACUCCCAGCCAGGGAG